rnacentral:sRNA from 1 species
AUGGUUUAGCCAAAUAAAAAAAGACGCAGAGAUUAACUCGAAAUCUCUGCGUCUUUUGUGU